rnacentral:rRNA from 1 species
GUGGGGAAUAUUGGACAAUGGGCGAAAGCCUGAUCCAGCCAUGGCGCGUGUGUGAAGAAGGUCUUCGGAUUGUAAAGCACUUUAAGUUGGGAGGAAGGGUAGUAACCUAAUACGUUGCUACUUUGACGUUACCGACAGAAUAAGCACCGGCUAACUUCGUGCCAGCAGCCGCGGUAAUACGAAGGGUGCAAGCGUUAAUCGGAAUUACUGGGCGUAAAGCGCGCGUAGGUGGUUCAGUAAGUUGGAAGUGAAAUCCCCGGGCUCAACCUGGGAACUGCUUUCAAAACUGCUGAGCUAGAGUACGGUAGAGGGUGGUGGAAUUUCCUGUGUAGCGGUGAAAUGCGUAGAUAUAGGAAGGAACACCAGUGGCGAAGGCGACCACCUGGACUGAUACUGACACUGAGGUGCGAAAGCGUGGGGAGCAAACAGGAUUAGAUACCCGAGUAGUCC